rnacentral:rRNA from 1 species
UACGUAGGGGGCGAGCGUUGUCCGGAUUUAUUGGGCGUAAAGAGCUCGUAGGUGGUUUGGUAAGUCGGAUGUGAAAUCUCCAGGCUCAACCUGGAGGGGUCAUUCGAUACUGCCAUGACUAGAGUUCGGUAGGGGAGUGUGGAAUUCCUGGUGGAGCGGUGAAAUGCGCAGAUAUCAGGAGGAACACCGGUGGCGAAGGCGGUUCUCUGGGCAUGUCCUGACGCUGAGGAGCGAAAGUGUGGGGAGCGAACAGG